UACGGGGGGGGCAAGCGUUGUUCGAAAUUACUGGGCGUAAAGGGCUCGUAGGCGGCCAACUAAGUCCGACGUGAAAUCCCCAGGCUUAACCUGGGAACUGCGUCGGAUACUGGAUGGCUUGAAUUCGGGAGAGGGAUGCAGAAUUCCAGGUGUAGCGGUGAAAUGCGUAGAUAUCGUAAGGAAGACCAGUGGCGAAGGCGGGUCUCUGGACAGUUCCUGACGCUGAGGCACGAAGGCCAGGGGAGCAAACGGG
rnacentral:rRNA from 1 species